UACGUAGGGGGCAAGCGUUGUCCGGAUUCAUUGGGCGUAAAGAGCUCGUAGGCGGUUCAGCAAGUCGGGUGUGAAACCUCCAGGCUCAACCUGGAGACGCCACCCGAUACUGCUGUGACUUGAGUCCGGUAGGGGACCACGGAAUUCCUGGUGUAGCGGUGAAAUGCGCAGAUAUCAGGAGGAACACCGGUGGCGAAGGCGGUGGUCUGGACCGGAACUGACGCUGAGGAGCGAAAGCGUGGGGAGCGAACAGG
rnacentral:rRNA from 1 species